rnacentral:rRNA from 1 species
UACGUAGGUGGCAAGCGUUAUCCGGAUUUAUUGGGCGUAAAGAGCGUGUAGGCGGUUCGGUAGGUCCGUUGUGAAAACUCGAGCUCAACCUCGAGACGCCGAUGGAAACCCCCGAACUAGAGUCCGGAAGAGGAGAGUGGAAUUCCCGGUGUAGCGGUGAAAUGCGCAGAUAUCGGGAAGAACACCCGUGGCUAAGGCGGCUCUCUAGUACGGUACUGACGCUGAGACGGCGAAAGCGUGGGGAGCGAACAGG